rnacentral:rRNA from 1 species
UACAGAGGGUGCAAGCGUUGUUCGGAAUUAUUGGGCGUAAAGGGCGCGUAGGCGGUGCGGUAAGUCUGUAGUGAAAUCUCUGGGCUCAACUCAGAGUCUGCUAUAGAAACUGCCGUGCUUGAGUGUGGGAGAGGUGAGUGGAAUUCUCGGUGUAGCGGUGAAAUGCGUAGAUAUCGGGAGGAACACCUGUGGCGAAAGCGGCUCACUGGACCACAACUGACGCUGAGGCGCGAAAGCUAGGGGAGCAAACAGG